UUGGGGAUCCUGCUGGAUGCUGCUGUGUCCCUUUUGGGCAGCACAAACUGGUGGGAUGGCUGGAGAAGGGCAAAUACUCCCUGCUGGAAAAUGAGGGGCGGGAUGGAGCCUGCAGGAAUCCCGGGAGAGCAGCGUGGGGCUGGGAUGCUGUUGCCAUCUGCAGGCGGCUCUGGAGCAGAUCCCUGUGGAUUCUGGCGAGGAACGAUCACCGGCUCUGCCAGCAGGAGGCAGA